GUUAUCCAGCCUCUAGUGGCUGUCUUCCUGACAGCCGCUAGAGGAGCUUCUGCGAGGCUGGAUGUGAAAAUCGCACAGAAUGUCCAUAGGAAAGCAUUGAGAAAUUCCUACUGACUGUUUGAAUGCGCGCGCGGCUCUUGCCACGCAUGCGCAUUCCACUCCACUCUUAAGCUGACAUCGGCGUGGGAGGAAAGGUCACCAGUGCCGAGGUAGCCCGGCGCUGGAUAAAGGUAAGUGGGGAGAGGGCCCUGAGGGUGGGUGGGACCUAAGGGUUGUAUAGUGUCAGGAAAACAAGUUUGUUUUCCUGACACUAUAGUGAUCCUUUAAAUAAAUUGCUUAAAUUUCAGAGACAAAUUCAUGAAAGCAAUAAGAACAUACUGAAACGUCAUACAACUAGUAAAUAAGUUCUGGCUGUAUUAAAAAGCUGUGUUAGCUGCAGAGACCCCAGUAAUCUUCACAAAACAGAGCCAUUAAACAGAUAAGAAUGGUAAUGACAUUUACGAUAGAGAAGGAUAACCCAGUGAACACUUUUCUGAGAAGUGUGUGU